CCCUAAACUCACGGACGUUAACGUAAAACCGUGUGCUAACGCAAACCUGCUGAGGAAAACCGAGUUAAGUAACACCACUGUUAAGAACGUCUUUUGUAUUUUAUCUAAGUUUGUGGUCAUGUAGUCUGCAUCGGAGGUGUAUUGGAGUCUCCUCUUGAGACUGCAGUCGAGCGGUGCUAACAACAGGAGAUUUCUCCAAGCAAAAAAAGGAUCCAAGCAAAAGAAUCAUCAUAGAUCCGUUCUACAGAAAGGCAGAAUUAGGUGCCUGGGUGCCCGACCGGGAUCAGAAGAAUCAUGGAAGUUCACCCUUCUGCAUCAGCGACUCUUGACUGAAUGGACUUUAUCGAUUUAAUGAUUUAAGGAUGAGGUCUUCUUGAAUUCCACGAGCAUUCAUCUAGAAAGUGCAAUUACCUGAUUGGACCCAUAAAUCCAAAUUCCACAAAGGAAAAGCUCUUUAAGGAACACCUGGACGUGGCCCAUUGAAUCAGGUGUUAAUUGAUGGACCGGAGCCGUGUGGAUAACUUGUGGAUUAUUAUGAAGUUUUUAUCAGCUGCUUGGACUCUCAUUCUGACGGCACCCAUUCACUGCACAGGAUCCAU